AUAUAUAUUUUAUUAAUAUUUAACAUCAAAAGGAAAAUCAUGUUUACAGCAGAACGCAUUACUUUAACUGUAGCCAAAAAGCUGCAAAAAACAAUUAAACAAGCAAUAUUUAAUGAAAGCCGUUGACUAGUGUGCACGGUGAAUCAGAAGAUGGAAAAUGUAAAAGAGGCAGUAAAAGGUGAUGGGUUCUCAUAACACCACCACAGAACGCCUACUAGAUGAGGAGGAUGAGGGCAGAUUAUAUGAAUGAUACCACCUCAUCACAGUCCAUGGCGAGUAGCGUGGUGGAGGCUCCGAUGACGUAGGCGACAGAGAACCAAAAUAAUUACUAAACAAAACCAAAAAUAAUUACUAAACCAAAAUAGCAGAAAAAACAGGAAGAGAGAGAUUCCUAAGGAUCCAACCCCUUGGUGCUUCCUGCAACCACCUUCCAUGUGUCCUUACAAGCCGUAUUGGAGGCUCCCCAAUCAGAAUCCUUCCACUUGAGCUUUCCUCGGGGAGCACAGACUAAACCUUAGUCAAAUCUUAAUACAGUUUUUACACAGAUUUAGAUGGCAACAUUAUAAAAGAUGGUGCCAAGGCUCUGCUCCAAUUUUGUGAAGUUGUUGGUGGAGAAACACAUAUAUGGUUCCUCAAAAAAUAUCAUUAUUCUUCUUGCAGAGAUCCUGCCAAAAUAGUCUGAUUUUAGGAGAAAAUUAUGCAAAAUAAUCUGUGCCGACAUGAACAUGCUCAUUAUCUUGUGAAAACACUAGAUUUUCACUAUGGAUUUCAUCUUUUUAACGUAUAGGGUGAAAUUGCCACCUAAUUCACAAGAUCCAGGACAGAAUUUUAUGGGUUUUGUGGAGGUAUUCUUAAAGGGGUUUUCUGGGAAAAUUUUAAAAACAGAUCAGAAAGGGAUAAGAAUUCUAAAAAAGAAAAAGAAAAUUAAAAAGGCAUUACUCGCCAUCAUUGAUCACCACCGGUCUCCACUUCCAGGUCUUGUCUUGACCCACAGGCCAUACCCAUGUGUGUCAAGCUGGGAUCAGGAAGUGGAGAGCGGCGGGUUCCGGUGGAUGACUAAAUAAUUUAUCUUUUUUUGCUUAUUGUAUAUAUCCCCAGAAAACCCUACCCAGCCACAGCUGCAGUCUUUUUAGGGGUCGGACAUUGCUUUGGAGAAGCACUUGCUUUCUUCCAUUCUGUAAAACCGUACAAAAAUGUUCAGAAAUGCAGGUCUUCUAAAAUCGGUAGCCUUAGCCAUGCGUCAGAAUUCAACAGAGGCUGGAAUCUUCUCAGACAUCCAUGUAUUACAGGAAAUAAAAUGCAAAACCAAAAAUAUUCAAAAAUAAGCCAUUGAUCAUUGUGUAUUUUACCAUUCAUUGCACUGUAUAGACCACUGUCUUAGGCGAUGGCUCCUCACAGAGGUCAUGGUGUUCUCAUAAAAUUAAAAGUCUGUAAGCACAGGGUGAGAUUUAUGAAAACUGGUGUAAAGGAAAACCCAUAGCAACCAAAGGAGCUCUGAAAAAUUAAAGGUGGGGUCUGAUUGGUUGCUACGGCCAAAUAGUAUGCAGCACUAUGGAGCGCUCUUAAAGGGGUUGUUCAGAAUUAGAAUAAACAGGUCUAGUAUUUUUAGUCUCAGAAUAACAGUGCCACUCCUGUCCAUGGGAUCAUAUCUGGUAUUGUAAUUCAGCCUCAUUCAAGUGAAUGGUAAGUUAGCUGGAAUCCCAGACGCUGCCAAUGGACAAGAGUGGUGCGGUUUCCAGAUGAGAAUUUAUUUAUUCUAAUCCUGGCCAUUCCCUUUAAAUGGGAUGGAAAGUUGUAAUACUUAUAAAAUACAUUAAAAUUAAUACACAGAACAAAAGUACAAUCAUACUUUACAUGGUAAAACACUGAGGAAGCAGCUAUGUACUAUUAAGGAGAGGCCAAUAAAAGAUCCCUGCACCAAUUACUACUGAUUCAAUGUUAUUUUUCUGAUCAUUUACCAUAUUCCGGGCUCUUCCCUCCUACAUCACACAUGUGAUUUCUAUCCAUACGAGAGGGAGGUGACAGUUAAGUUUAUUUUCACAUUUGCGACACAGCUCACUGGCAGGCAGUACCGUCACAAAAAAGCGUCUGCUGCUUUUUUUUUUUUU